AUUGAACGCUGGCGGCAUGCUUUACACAUGCAAGUCGAACGGUAACAGGCCGCAAGGUGCUGACGAGUGGCGAACGGGUGAGUAAUGCAUCGGAACGUGCCCAGUCGUGGGGGAUAACGCAGCGAAAGCUGUGCUAAUACCGCAUACGAUCUAUGGAUGAAAGCGGGGGACCGUAGGGCCUCGCGCGAUUGGAGCGGCCGAUGUCAGAUUAGGUAGUUGGUGGGGUAAAGGCUCACCAAGCCAACGAUCUGUAGCUGGUCUGAGAGGACGACCAGCCACACUGGGACUGAGACACGGCCCAGACUCCUACGGGAGGCGGCAGUGGGGAAUUUUGGACAAUGGGCGCACGCCUGAUCCAGCAAUGCCGCGUGCAGGAAGAAGGCCUUCGGGUUGUAAACUGCUUUUGUACGGAACGAAACGGUCCUGGUUAAUACCCGGAGCUAAUGACGGUACCGUAAGAAUAAGCACCGGCUAACUACGUGCCAGCAGCCGCGGUAACAC
rnacentral:rRNA from 1 species